rnacentral:rRNA from 1 species
AUUGAACGCUGGCGGCAUGCCUUACACAUGCAAGUCGAACGGCAGCGGGGGAGAAGCUUGCUUUUCCUGCCGGCGAGUGGCGAACGGGUGAGUAAUACAUCGGAACGUGCCCUGUAGUGGGGGAUAACUAGUCGAAAGAUUAGCUAAUACCGCAUACGACCUGAGGGUGAAAGUGGGGGACCGCAAGGCCUCAUGCUAUAGGAGCGGCCGAUGUCUGAUUAGCUAGUUGGGGGGGUAAAGGCCUACCAAGGCGACGAUCAGUAGCUGGUCUGAGAGGACGAGAUGCCACACUGGAACUGAGACACGGCCCAGACUCCUACGGGAGGCAGCAGUGGGGAAUUUUGGACAAUGGGCGAAAGCCUGAUCCAGCAAUGCCGCGUGUGUGAAGAAGGCCUUCGGGUUGUAAAGCACUUUUGUCCGGAAAGAAAUGGCUCUGGUUAAUACCUGGGGUCGAUGACGGUACCGGAAGAAUAAGGACCGGCUAACUACGUGCCAGCCGCCGCCGUAA